UACGUAGGGUGCGAGCGUUAAUCGGAAUUACUGGGCGUAAAGCGUGCGUAGGCGGUGUGUCGCGUCGGCCGUGAAAACCUGCAGCUUAACUGUGGGCUUGCGGUCGAUACGGGCAUCACUGGAGUUCGGCAGGGGAGACUGGAAUUCCUGGUGUAGCGGUGAAAUGCGCAGAUAUCAGGAGGAACACCGGUGGCGAAGGCGGGUCUCUGGGCCGAUACUGACGCUGAGGAGCGAAAGCGUGGGGAGCGAACAGG
rnacentral:rRNA from 1 species